AUGCUCACUGCGAGCCAUACGAGCAAGCGCCGUCCCCAGCUCUGGCAGAGACACCACGGGGCACGAGGACAAGUAAGGCACACGCUGUCUGGACAUGAAGGACAUCGUCCACCUGCCCCUGUUUCUUCCAGGUGCAGAAAGCUCGUGUUUGCAGAAAGCCCCCUCUACCAGGUCCAUUACUGGCUUCCUCAUCGGCGAGGGACCUUUGGCACAGCCACCUGGCGUGCCAGGCAUGGGCUCGUUAACUUCAUCUGCCACCCGGGCUGGCCGAAGGUUAUAGAAAGCUUCUGGAGAACACCAGACCUCAGCAGAGAGAUGUGUCCUGUCCUGGGGCUGGGAGGUAAAAUCUCGCUCAGUCUCUUGUGGAUCACGGCACCCUCUGGAGCGGGAGCACCCCGGGGGGGCCCCCACGCAGGGCUGGGGGGCUGCAGGUGGCACCGCCAGGGCUGGCUGCUGGCAUCGCUCGGAGCUGCUGCUGGGACUCAGCAGCCAAGUCCCCGCGCUGGCAGGGAGCAGGAGAGCGAGCUGCAGAGGGAGCCGCUCUGUUACGAGGCGACAGGAACGAGGCCUCAAGCUACAGCCAGUAACGCGCAGGCAAAAAUAUACUUCUCAUUAUGAACCAAAAUAAGGGUGGGACCGAGAGUGGCUCUUUCCUCCUUUUUCCAGUAUUACUUCAUAGAGCACUUGUAGAAGACAUCCCCUUCCAUGGAAUUUGUGCUUGGCUGAUGAAUUUGUGACGUCUUCGCACAAGGGCUCAUUGAAAGAUGCCCCCGAUCCAAGGUGCCACCAGUUCCUGGGAGAGCGUCCCGUCCGUGCUGCUCUCUGUGAAGCCACCCUCAGGACACCGCGGCAUGAGGUGGGUGGGGACAGCUGGGUGCUGGAGGCUGCGCGGCUGCCAGCGCCCGGCCUCGAGACAUCCCACACCCGUCAUCCACGAGGCGCUGGUACCGGAGCUGGGCUCCACGGGCAGAGUCCGCACCCCAGCGAACGCGUUGGCCUCUUGUGCAAGAUGAAUCAUUGCCCUUGCUUUUGGCAUUAUUAUUAUUAUUUUUUUAAUAUCCCGUUUAGUGAACUGGUGAAUCAGCAGUCAAAUAAGGAAAUAAUAACAUGGUGAAUUAACCCUUUCAAACUCAGGCGCAUGAAAUUAGACAUACAGAGCAGUGACUUGAUUUCCACGUGCUUUGCAAUAAAUGUCAGCCCCGAUUCUGGCCUUCCUGCA
rnacentral:lncRNA from 1 species